CGGGUGAGUAACACGUGGAUAACCUACCUAUAAGACUGGGAUAACUUCGGGAAACCGGAGCUAAUACCGGAUAAUAUUUUGAACCGCAUGGUUCAAAAGUGAAGACGGUCUUGCUGUCACUUAUAGAUGGAUCCGCGCUGCAUUAGCUAGUUGGUAAGGUAACGGCUUACCAAGGCAACGAUGCAUAGCCGACCUGAGAGGGUGAUCGGCCACACUGGAACUGAGACACGGUCCAGACUCCUAGGGAGGCAGCAGUC
rnacentral:rRNA from 1 species